UACGUAGGGUGCAAGCGUUGUCCGGAAUUAUUGGGCGUAAAGAGCUCGUAGGCGGUGUGUCGCGUCGGCCGUGAAAACCUGCAGCUUAACUGUGGGCUUGCGGUCGAUACGGGCAUCACUGGAGUUCGGCAGGGGAGACUGGAAUUCCUGGUGUAGCGGUGAAAUGCGCAGAGAUCAGGAGGAACACCGAUGGCGAAAGCAGGUACCUGGACCAUUACUGACACUCAGCUGCGAAAGCUAGGGGAGCAAACAGG
rnacentral:rRNA from 1 species